rnacentral:rRNA from 1 species
AGCCAUGCGAGUCGAGAGAAUAAGAUUCUCGGCAUACCGCUCAGUAACACGUGGAUAACUGCCCUGUGCUGGGGGAUAACCUCGCGAAAGUGAGAACAAUACCCCAUGGGUCACUAUGCCUGGAACGGUUAGUGGCUGAAAGCUCCGGCGGCACAGGAUGGGUCUGCGGCGUAUCAGGUCGUAGGGGGUGUAACGUACCUCCUAGCCUUCGACGCGUACGGGUUGUGAGAGCAAUUGCCCGGAGAUGGAUUCUGAGACACGAAUCCAGGCCCUACGGGGCGCAGCAGGCGCGAAAACUUGACAAUGCGAGAAAUCGUGAUCAGGGGACUCCAGUUGGCUGGAUCAAAAGUCCAGUCUGAACCGACUUUAAAUCGGUCGGGUAAUAGGGGCGGGAAAGACCGGUGCCAGCCGCCGCGGUAAUACCGGCGCCCCAAGUGGUCGUCACUAUUAUUGGGCCUAAAACGUCCGUAGCCGGUUUGGUAAAUCCGUGGGUAAAUCAGACAGCCCAACUGUCUGAAUUCUGCGGGGACUGCCAGACUUGAGACCGGGAGAGGUGCGGGGUACUUGCGGGGUACCGGUAAAAUGGGAUCAUCCCGUAGAGACCACCUGUUGCGAAGGCGCCGCACUAGAACGGAUCUGACGGUCAGGGACGAAGCCUAGGGGCACGAACCGGAUUAGAUACCCGGGUAGUCCUAGGUGUAAACGCUGUGGACUUGGUGUCGGGGACCUUCUGAGGGUUUCCGGUGCCGGAGUGAAGAUGUUAAGUCCACUGCCUGGGGAGUACGGUCGUAAGGCUGAAACUUAAAGGAAUUGGCGGGGGAGCACCGCAACGAGAGGAGCGUGCGGUUUAAU